rnacentral:lncRNA from 1 species
GAAAGGAUCUAAAAUGUCUGAAUGACAAAUUCGAAAUUCUCAAAGUAGAUCAUGAAAAUUUAACAAAAACGUUUUCAAAAUUCGAUGUGGGUUCAAGCUCUCUUAAUAGGCUAUUGGGAAGCCAAGUUGCUCCAAAUUGUAAAUUUGGAAUUGGCUUUAGUCCCUCACAAAGAAUUGGUGUUAAUACCAAUUGUGCAAAUCAAAGGCCUAUUAGGAGGAGAGAAAACAAAUUCCCACAAACAACAAAAUUUUAUGCUUGCAAACAUUGUAAUAUGAUUAAUCAUAAUAUGCAUAAUUGUUUUGUUAAAUUAAAGGGAUUGCCCAAGGGAAAAUAUGAAUGGGUUGCAAAAGGCACAAUCCCUUGUACUAACAAGAAAGGACCCAACAUCAUUUGGGUACCUAGCUCUUCGCUCUAGGAAGAGAAAUGUUUGUGUCCUUGCAGGUGCUUUAAAAAGGAGUCUCCCAA